AAACCCCAUUAUAUUGUGUUUUAGCUAUAUUUUCUCUUUGUCUAAAAAACAAAAUCCCCAUUCCCCAUCCAAUAUUAGAUUGUAAAUAUGGAAAUAUAGUUGGAAACAUCCCACCUUAAAAAAUGAUUACUCAAAAUUUACUUUUUUAGUCAUUUUUAUAGGAAUUUCUCCAAAAAGACUAAUGAUCAUGAGCGUUAGGUGACAAAUUUGGUAAACGGCUAUUGACGUCAUAUGAUGUCAGCCGCCGGUAAAACCCGCCGCCGGCACGUUUGCAUUUUUCUCUUUUCUAUUUAGAAAAAUGCUAAAAAAAAAAAAACUAAUGAAAAUGAUUUGAAAAUUUUGAGUUUUAAUGAUAAGGACAAAAUAAAGGGUAAAGUAAAUAGUAACAUAAUUAAUUUUUUAAUAUAAAAAUAUGAUUUUUCGUUAAAGUAAUUAAUAUCAAAAAAAUUUCGUUAAAGUUUCAAUAAAAUAAAAAAAACAUAUUUGGGAGGACUGAACUGGAGGCUUAUAAAAGAGGUAGAGAGAGAGACCACAAAACUGCCAAAACACCCUAAAAACCCAAAGAAAUUAGAGAGCUUUUUAUUUCCAUUACAUUUUACAACUAGCCUUUGCCUUUCUGUUUCUGAUUUUUCUGUUGCCACAUUGUGUGUAUAUAUACACACAUAUAUACACACACACACACGCAUAUAUGCGCUGUUCUUCCUCUGUUUUUUCCUUGUUUUCUGAAGCAGAAAAGUCUCUGUAUUUUUAGAAAAAAGGGGGAAAAGAAAAGAAACGGAGCUUUUUUUUUCCAAUACAAAUAAAUAUUCAGUUCAGCCGGUCAAUUGUUUGUGUUUUUCUGUGCAUUUGAGCUUGAAAUAUCAAAUGUGGUGGAGGUUGAACCACUGAAACUUCAGCUCUUCUCCAUUUCCAUCGUUUUUCCGAUCAAACAAGUAAGUUCUCGUGAUUUUUUUCAUAAAAAUCCAUUUUGUCUUCUGGGUUUUUCUCAAAUUCCAAAAAGUUUUUGUCUUUGCACUUUUUUUUCUCUUCCCAUUUGCUCCUCUUUUUUCUUGAAAAACUCCAAAUAAAAUGUAUUUCAUUUUUAUUCAGUUGAUUUUCUUCCAAAAAUGAUUGUUUGGUGUUUUGUCUGUGCAUUUGAGUUUUGAAAUUCAAAAACGGAGAGGUUGAACCACUGACUUAAAGCUCUUCUCCAUUUCCAUCGUUUUUCCGAUCAAACAAGUAAGUUCUCGUGAUUUUUUUCAUAAAAAUCCACUUUUGUCUUCUGGGUUUUUCUCACAAUCCAAAAAGUUUUUGUCUUUGCACUUUUUUUCUCUCCCAUUUGCUCCUCCUCUGUUUUCUGCGACGAAAAAUCGAAGAAAAACUCCCAAAUGGAGCGACUGCCGACUGCGG
rnacentral:lncRNA from 1 species